rnacentral:tRNA from 1 species
GCCUGGGUGGCUCAGUUGGUUAAGUGUCUGACUUUGGCUCAGGUCACGAUCUCACGGUUUGUGGGUUUGAGACCCACCUCAGGUU